AGAGUUUGAUCAUGGCUCAGAUUGAACGCUGGCGGCAGGCCUAACACAUGCAAGUCGAGCGGUAGCACAGAGAGCUUGCUCUCGGGUGACGAGCGGCGGACGGGUGAGUAAUGUCUGGGAAACUGCCUGAUGGAGGGGGAUAACUACUGGAAACGGUAGCUAAUACCGCAUAACGUCGCAAGACCAAAGUGGGGGACCUUCGGGCCUCAUGCCAUCAGAUGUGCCCAGAUGGGAUUAGCUAGUAGGUGGGGUAACGGCUCACCUAGGCGACGAUCCCUAGCUGGUCUGAGAGGAUGACCAGCCACACUGGAACUGAGACACGGUCCAGACUCCUACGGGAGGCAGCAGUGGGGAAUAUUGCACAAUGGGCGCAAGCCUGAUGCAGCCAUGCCGCGUGUGUGAAGAAGGCCUUCGGGUUGUAAAGCACUUUCAGCGGGGAGGAAGGCGUUAAGGUUAAUAACCUUGUCGAUUGACGUUACCCGCAGAAGAAGCACCGGCUAACUCCGUGCCAGCAGCCGCGGUAAUACGGAGGGUGCAAGCGUUAAUCGGAAUUACUGGGCGUAAAGCGCACGCAGGCGGUCUGUCAAGUCGGAUGUGAAAUCCCCGGGCUCAACCUGGGAACUGCAUUCGAAACUGGCAGGCUAGAGUCUUGUAGAGGGGGGUAGAAUUCCAGGUGUAGCGGUGAAAUGCGUAGAGAUCUGGAGGAAUACCGGUGGCGAAGGCGGCCCCCUGGACAAAGACUGACGCUCAGGUGCGAAAGCGUGGGGAGCAAACAGGAUUAGAUACCCUGGUAGUCCACGCCGUAAACGAUGUCGAUUUGGAGGUUGUGCCCUUGAGGCGUGGCUUCCGGAGCUAACGCGUUAAAUCGACCGCCUGGGGAGUACGGCCGCAAGGUUAAAACUCAAAUGAAUUGACGGGGGCCCGCACAAGCGGUGGAGCAUGUGGUUUAAUUCGAUGCAACGCGAAGAACCUUACCUGGUCUUGACAUCCACAGAACUUUCCAGAGAUGGAUUGGUGCCUUCGGGAACUGUGAGACAGGUGCUGCAUGGCUGUCGUCAGCUCGUGUUGUGAAAUGUUGGGUUAAGUCCCGCAACGAGCGCAACCCUUAUCCUUUGUUGCCAGCGGUUAGGCCGGGAACUCAAAGGAGACUGCCAGUGAUAAACUGGAGGAAGGUGGGGAUGACGUCAAGUCAUCAUGGCCCUUACGACCAGGGCUACACACGUGCUACAAUGGCAUAUACAAAGAGAAGCGACCUCGCGAGAGCAAGCGGACCUCAUAAAGUAUGUCGUAGUCCGGAUUGGAGUCUGCAACUCGACUCCAUGAAGUCGGAAUCGCUAGUAAUCGUAGAUCAGAAUGCUACGGUGAAUACGUUCCCGGGCCUUGUACACACCGCCCGUCACACCAUGGGAGUGGGUUGCAAAAGAAGUAGGUAGCUUAACCUUCGGGAGGGCGCUUACCACUUUGUGAUUCAUGACUGGGGUGAAGUCGUAACAAGGUAACCGUAGGGGAACCUGCGGUUG
rnacentral:rRNA from 2 species